AAAGGGUCCUCACUGCUGCAGAGGUGAAUUCUAAUUCUGAGACCACCAUGCACCCAAGCAGACAAGACAUUGCAGAGGGCCCACCAAGUAUGGUGCUGGAUGAAGGAAAUAAAAUCACAGACCCCCCUGCAAGGCUCAAUUGCACAGACCUAAGAGAGCUCCAUAGAAUCUCAACCCACAGAAUAAGAAAUCGGCGGUCAUGAACGUUCUUUAUCAACUGCAAAGUGUCGUGAAAAGGCAAGUGAAGACUCUCGUUGUUAAAGAACAGAGGAGAGGAGAACCUGUCUACUGAUUCCACGGAGCCUGCAGUUGCCGUGUGGCUGCAUACGGGGUGACUUCAUGGUAAUUAGUUGCCCAAUUCCCAUCAUUAGAGCGGAUCCAGCAGGCUGCCUGGGCCUGGGAGCGGAGCCACUGUCUGCUGAUCUAAUGAUGAUGCUCCCAUGCUAACCUUCCCCAGGGUGCUCUCCAUCACUGGGCAGCAGGCAGAUGAGCUAUUUUCUGGUUUGGCUUUGCCUCUCACAGCUGGGC
rnacentral:lncRNA from 1 species